rnacentral:rRNA from 1 species
UGGGGAAUCUUGCGCAAUGGGGGAAACCCUGACGCAGCAACGCCGCGUGGGUGAUGAAGGCCUUCGGGUCGUAAAGCCCUGUCAGGUGGGAAGAACCGUAUCGGUACAAACAGUGCCGAUGCUUGACGGUACCACCGGAGGAAGCACCGGCUAACUCCGUGCCAGCAGCCGCGGUAAUACGGAGGGUGCAAGCGUUGUUCGGAAUUACUGGGCGUAAAGCGCGUGCAGGCGGUUGAGCAAGUCAGAUGUGAAAGCCUUCCGCUUAACGGAAGAAGUGCAUUUGAAACUACUCGGCUAGAGUUCGAGAGAGGAGAGUGGAAUUCCCGGUGUAGAGGUGAAAUUCGUAGAUAUCGGGAGGAACACCGGUGGCGAAGGCGGCUCUCUGGCUCGAUACUGACGCUGAGACGCGAAAGCGUGGGGAGCAAACAGG